GGGCGUAUAGCUCAGCGGUCAGAGCGCUGCCUUCACACGGCAGAGGUCCGUGGUUCGAGACCACGUACGCCCA
rnacentral:tRNA from 1 species